rnacentral:rRNA from 1 species
UACAGAGGGUGCAAGCGUUGUUCGGAAUUAUUGGGCGUAAAGGGCGCGUAGGCGGUGCGGUAAGUCCGCAGUGAAAUCUCUGGGCUCAACUCAGAGUCUGCUGUGGAAACUGCCGUGCUUGAGUGUGGGAGAGGUGAGUGGAAUUCCCGGUGUAGCGGUGAAAUGCGUAGAUAUCUGGAGGAACACCGGUGCGAAGGCGGCAUCCUGGACCGGA